AUUGAACGCUGGCGGCAUGCCUAACACAUGCAAGUCGAGCGUGCGGCGGACGGGUGAGUAAUGUAUGGGGACUGCCCGAUAGAGGGGGAUAACUACUGGAAACGGUGGCUAAUACCGCAUACUGUCUGAUUACCCAUAUGGGAUUAGCUAGUAGGUAAGGUAAUGGCUUACCUAGGCGACGAUCCCUAGCUGGUCUGAGAGGAUGAUCAGGGACACUGGGAAGGAGACACGGCGCAGACGGCUACGGAGGCAGCAGUGGGGAAGAUUGGACAAGGGGCGCAAGCCUGAUGCAGCCAUGCCGCGGGUAUGAAGAAGGGCAUAGGGUUGUAAAGUAUUUUCAGUCGGGAGGCGGUACCGACAGAAGAAGCACCGGCUAACUCCGUGCCAGCAGCCGCGGUAAUUC
rnacentral:rRNA from 1 species